rnacentral:rRNA from 1 species
AUUGAACGCUGGCGGCAGGCCUAACACAUGCAAGUCGAGCGAGCGGCGGACGGGUGAGUAAUGUAUGGGAAACUGCCUGAUGGAGGGGGAUAAAUACUGGAAACGGUAGCUAAUACCGCAUACCAUCAGAUGUGCCCAGAUGGGAUUAGCUAGUGGGUGGGGUAACGGCUCACCUAGGCGACGCUCCCUAGCUGGUCUGAGAGGAUGACCAGCCACACUGGGACUGAGACACGGUCCAGACUCCUACGGGAGGCAGCAGUGGGGAAUUUUGCACAAUGGGCGCAAGCCUGAUGCAGCCAUGCCGCGUGUGUGAAGAAGGCCUUCGGGUUGUAAAGCACUUUUAGCGGGGAGGCGUUACCCGCAGAAGAAGCACCGGCUAACUCCGUGCCAGCAGCCGCGGUAAUUC